GACAGAGGGUGCGAACGUUGUUCGGAAUUACUGGGCGUAAAGCGCAUGUAGGCGGCAGCGCAAGUCGGGCGUGAAAUCCCACGGCUCAACCGUGGAAGUGCACUCGAAACUGCGCAGCUAGAGUCCUGGAGAGGAAGGUGGAAUGCUUGGUGUAGAGGUGAAAUUCGUAGAUAUCAAGCGGAACACCGGUGGCGAAGGCGGGUCUACUGGGCCGUAACUGACGCUGAGGAGCGAAAGCGUGGGGAGCGAACAGG
rnacentral:rRNA from 1 species